rnacentral:piRNA from 1 species
UAGGACAAUGUCAAGAAGGAAGG